AUACCUUUCUCGGCCUUUUGGCUAAGAUCAAGUGUAGUAUCUGUUCUUAUCAGUUUAAUAUCUGAUACGUGAGCCAUUGGCUCACACGAUAUUAACUCAAUUUUUUAAGGGGAAAGAUCCACCAAGGUAGCUUGCUGCCUGGGUCUUUGAGUGUCGCCUUGGUUUUGCACUAUUGCCUUGGCCUGGCACACCCCAC
rfam:Ipomoea nil DNA, scaffold: scaffold3147, cultivar: Tokyo-kokei standard.